rnacentral:tRNA from 1 species
UCCUCGGUAGUAUAGUGGUUAGUAUUUCCGACUGUAACUCAGGAGACCGGGGUUCGAUUCCCCGCGGGGGAG